CUCAGAAUGACAUGGAAGCCAGAGGGCACUGUCUACCAUUCGGAUCUCCACUCUGUAGCCCAGAAUGGGACUUCCUCCAUCAUGCAAAGGUUUGCUGCUUCUUCAAAGAGAAAGCUCUAUGCUGUUUGGCUUCCAAAAAGCAGAAGCAGGAGCAGAUGGCGACGACCGCUCUCGAAUGAUACAACCUCAGCAUUAGGGGAUUCUUUCAGUGGUUUGCCAUCAAGGAGCCACUGGCAGUUUUUGCUCUCAGGACGAGACAGGGCACACUCAAAGAGCGCUUCGCCUCCAUCAAAAGUCUCCACAUUCUCCAGGCCCUGAACAAUGACGUUUUUGUAGGUAGAAGCAGAGAAGAUCCCCUAAAGCCUGGUGCUCUUUCCAUGUGGAGGGAAGCUCACCUUCCACAUGAAGUGAAGCGACCACGCAGGUCCCCUCUGCCUCACAGGAGUACGUGCCCCUGUCCU